GCUUCCGUAGCUCAGUUGGUAGAGCACCGCCCUUUUAAGGCGGGUGUCAUGGGUUCAAGCCCCAUCGGGGGCACCA
rnacentral:tRNA from 1 species